rnacentral:rRNA from 1 species
GAGGAAAAGAAAAUAACAAUGAUUUCCCUAGUAACGGCGAGUGAAGAGGAAAGAGCUCAAAGUUGGAACCUGUUUGGCUUAGCUAAACCGGAUUGUAAACUGUAGAAGUGUUUUCCAGACACGCCUGGUAAAAAAGUCCUUUGGAACAGGGCAUCAUAGAGGGUGAGAAUCCCGUCAUUGGCCAGAGCUGUUGUCUUUUGUGAUACAUUUUCAAAGAGUCAGGUUGUUUGGGAAUGCAGCCUAAAUUGGGUGGUAAAUCUCACCUAAAGCUAAAUAUUUGCGAGAGACCGAUAGCGAACAAGUACCGUGAGGGAAAGAUGAAAAGAACUUUGAAAAGAGAGUUAAACAGUAUGUGAAAUUGUUAAAAGGGAACCGUUUGGAGCCAGACUGGCUUAACUGUAAUCAAUCUAGGCUUUGGCCUGGAUGCACUUGCGGUUUAUGCCGGCCAACGACAGUUUUGUUUGAGGGAAAAAAUUACAUUGAAUGUGGCCCUUCGGGGUGUUAUAGCUUUGUAAAAAAUACCUUGGACUGGACUGAGGAACGCAGUGAAUGCCUUUAGGCAAGAUUGCUGGGUGCUUUCGCUAAUAAAUGCUAGAAUUUCUGCUUCGGGUGGUGCUAGUGUUUAAAGGAGGAACUCGCUU